GGGCGAAUGGUUUAGUGGUAUAAUACUCCCUUAGCAUGGGAUGAUCUCAGGACCUUCGGUCCAAGAUAGUCAAUGCGGAAUUUGGGAGUGGUCCAGGGUUCGAUUCCCUGUUCGUCCA